rnacentral:tRNA from 2 species
AUUAAGGUGGCAGAGCCCGGUAAUUGCGAAAGACCUAAGCCCUUUUCCCCAGAGGUUCAACUCCUCUCCUUAGUA